rnacentral:rRNA from 1 species
CCUACGGGUGGCAGCAGUGAGGAAUAUUGGUCAAUGGACGAGAGUCUGAACCAGCCAAGUAGCGUGAAGGAUGACUGCCCUAUGGGUUGUAAACUUCUUUUAUAUGGGAAUAAAAUGUUCCACGUGUGGGAUUUUGUAUGUACCCUAUGACUAAGGAUCGGCUAACUCCGUGCCAGCAGCCGCGGUAAUACGGAGGAUCCGAGCGUUAUCCGGAUUUAUUGGGUUUAAAGGGAGCGUAGGUGGAUUGUUAAGUCAGUUGUGAAAGUUUGCGGCUCAACCGUAAAAUUGCAGUUGAAACUGGCAGUCUUGAGUACAGUAGAGGUGGGCGGAAUUCGUGGUGUAGCGGUGAAAUGCUUAGAUAUCACGAAGAACUCCGAUUGCGAAGGCAGUUCACUGGACUGCAACUGACACUGAGGCUCGAAAGUGUGGGUAUCAAACAGGAUUAGAUACCCGAGUAGUC